AUGUGCGUCUGUGUGUCUGCUAUGGCGAUGCGCACUGCUCUCAAGAUCUUAACUAUCUUGUAUGUGCUUGCAGUUCUUGCUGCAUAUCAGGCGGAAGGGCGGCACCAUCAGCCUGAUUGUCCUUCUUUCUCGUGCGGUCUUCUUGGAAACAUAUCGUCUCCGUUUCGUCGGGCAAGUGAUCCACCUGGCUGCGGCUAUCAAUCUUAUGAGCUGGUUUGCAGUGAUACCAAGGCUAUGAUUCACAUCGGCGAUGCGACAUACUAUGUGUCUGACAUCAACUUAAGUGGUUCUUCCUUCUGGGUCAUCGAUGCCAACAUGGAUUUAUACAACAACUGCCCUCUACCUCGAUGGAAUCGGCCUCCCUCUAGAUACCAUGACGACAUGGAAGUCGAAUUGGAACCCCGUUCAAGUAGUCAGGCUUGCUUUCUUAAAUGCUCUCGGGAAGUAAAGGACAAUGCUAUGUACAUGCCUGUUGCUUGCCUUAGCACCAAUGAUACUUAUGUUUAUGUGUUAACUGGUUAUCGAUCUAAUUCAAUGGAGUAUCUCGAGCCUUCUUGUGGGUACUUGUCCAUGAUUCCUCGGCCUUGGGACAGUCUCGGGAUAGAAAAUGCAAGUUAUACAGAUGUUGUGAAAUCCAUGAGGACUGGAUUUGCUGUUAUGUUUCCUUUCAGAUAUUCUACGGUGAGCGUCAUGGAAUGCCUAGACAUGUUACGCCCCGUGUCGAGUGAGGGCAUCAAGCCGCUUAUUAUAUACAGUCUUCUGGUUGAUGGGUUUUUCUGGCAUUGUGUAUUUUAUACUGCUGGAUAUCAAGGACAGGGUGUUGCCGGUUCCAUCAUAAUCGUCUUCUGGAUUGUGAAGUGGCUAGCUGUGCUAUGCAGGUUCAUAUUUGCACCACUGGCUAUGUUGAUUUUCCUAGCCUACAAGUAUUGGAAAACAAGAAUAACAAUCGAUGCGGUCGAGAAGUUCCUACGAAUGCAGCAAAUGGUCGGUCCGACGAGGUACGCCUACACCGACAUCACCGCAGUCACAAGCCAUUUCAGAGAUAAGCUGGGCCAGGGAGGCUACGGCUCUGUGUUUAAGGGUGUGCUGUUGCCAGGCAAUGUUCAUGUCGCAGUCAAGAUGCUAGACGGUAACUCCAACUGUAAUGGAGAAGAUUUUAUCAGUGAAGUUUCUACCAUUGGCAGGAUCCACCAUGUUAAUGUGGUGCGUUUACUGGGGUUUUGCCCGGAGGAAAUGAGACAAGCGCUUGUCUACGAGUACAUGCCUCGAGGUUCUCUCGACAAGUACAUCUUCUCAACUGAGAGGAGUUUUUCUUGGGAUGAGCUCACUGAGAUUGCUUUGGGCAUUGCCAGGGGCAUCGACUACCUGCAUCAGGGCUGUGAGAUGCAGAUUCUCCACUUUGACAUCAAGCCCCACAACAUCCUUCUUGACAACAAUUUUGUCCCCAAAGUUGCUGAUUUUGGUCUCGCCAAACUUUACCCAAGGGACAACAGUUUUGUUCCAUCGAGAGCCCUACGGGGAACAAUUGGGUACAUAGCUCCUGAGAUGAUAUCUCGUAGCUUCGGCAUCGUAUCGAGCAAGUCUGAUGUUUACAGCUUUGGGAUGCUGCUGCUGGAGAUGGCUGGAGGAAGAAGGAAUGCUGAUCCAAAUGCGGCAAGCUCGAGCCAAGUGUACUACCCGUCGUGGGUUUAUGACCGGUUAACUGAACCAGAAGUGGAAGAGAUAUCUCCUGCUGCUGAGAUACAUGAGCUGGAGAGGAAGUUGUGCACUGUUGGACUAUGGUGCAUUCAGAUGAGGCCUCAAGAUCGACCCAUGAUGAGCGAGGUUAUAGAGAUGCUGGAAGGCAGUGUUGAUGGCUUGCAGAUGCCUUCGAGGCCAUUCUUAUGUGACGAAGGGCAUAUCCAUGCCGCCGAUACUUACCAUUUGUCGUCGGAGCUGACUGAAAUCUCCAAGGAGGAUACGAGUGUAAAUAUUGAUGUGUGA
rnacentral:rRNA from 1 species